CUUUCGCAAUGCCCGAAAGGGUGACGAAGCGACGCCGCGGCCGGGAAGAAGGCCUUCGGGUUGUGAACCACUGUCGGGACUUAGGAAACGCAAGAUUGUUAAUAGCGCUUUUGCUUGACUAAGGCUCCAGAGGAAGCCACGGCUAACUCUGUGCCAGCAGCCGCGGUAAUAACAAGGCGGCAAGCGUUGUUCGGAAUUAUUGGGCGUGAAGAGCACCAAGGCGGCCUUAUAAGUCGGUUGUGAAAGCCUUCCGCUCAACGGGAGAACAGCAUCCGAUACUGCAUGGCUUGCUUAUGGGAGGGGAGAGUGGAAGUAUCUGGUGAGCGGUAAGAUCCCUAGAUAUCUGUAGCAACGCCGGCGGCGAAAGCGCUUCUCUGGUCCGUAACUGACGCUGAGAGUGCGAAAAGUAGAGGAGCAAACGUGAUUCAUCUCCCCAGGUAGUCCUAGCCGUAA
rnacentral:rRNA from 1 species